UACCAGCACCCCGAGUGGUCGGGACGAUUAUUGGGCCUAAAGCAUCCGUAGCCGGUCCUACAAGUCUUCCGUUAAAUCCACCUGCUUAACAGAUGGGCUGCGGAAGAUACUAUAGGGCUAGGAGGCGGGAGAGGCAAGCGGUACUCAGUGGUAGGGGUAAAAUCCGUUGAUCCAUUGAAGACCACCAGUGGCGAAGGCGGCUUGCCAGAACGCGCUCGACGGUGAGGGAUGAAAGCUGGGGGAGCAAACCGGG
rnacentral:rRNA from 1 species